GAAAAUGAGAGUUUGAUCCUGGCUCAGGACGAACGCUGGCGGCGUGCCUAAUACAAGCGAGCGGCGGACGGGUGAGUAACACGUGGGUAACCUGCCCAAGAGACUGGGAUAACACCUGGAAACAGAUGCUAAUACCGGAUAACAACACUAGACGCAUGUCUAGAGUUUAAAAGAUGGUUCUGCUAUCACUCUUGGAUGGACCUGCGGUGCAUUAGCUAGUUGGUAAGGUAACGGCUUACCAAGGCAAUGAUGCAUAGCCGAGUUGAGAGACUGAUCGGCCACAUUGGGACUGAGACACGGCCCAAACUCCUACGGGAGGCAGCAGUAGGGAAUCUUCCACAAUGGACGC
rnacentral:rRNA from 1 species